rnacentral:lncRNA from 1 species
AGCCUCUGCGGGCAGCCCAGGGAGACCACCAACCCAUAGGCCCUUGGGCCCCAGGGAGGCUCAGGUGAGCAGCGCUUGUCCUCCGGACUGUUGGCCGUUCUGGCGGAUCUGCUUCUGUUCCUCGGGCCAGCCGGCUCCACCCCGCGUCUCUGGAUUCCGGGACAUCGGACAUCUGGCUCCCACCACGCCUUGUGCAGGUAACGAAGCUCCCAGCUGCCAGAUAGAUGGAUGCUGAGACUCCCCGUGGGGUGUUCAGGGCCCCGCCCUGCAGGAGGGCCCCCCUGGGGCUUCACGGGGGGAGCAGGGGCAGCCCACACACCUGGCCAAGCGUGUUGAAGAGUGACAGCUGCUGCCCAGACUCUGCCUCUCCCAGGCCGGCCCAGCCAGGAUCCUCCGCAGUGACGAGCCUGCCCCCUGCGCCCCCGAGGAAUCCAAUAAACCUUUGUGAAACCAGCUACCCGAGUGCAGUGUGGACUUAUUGGAAACAUCUAAUUUCCAAACAUUUCAUCCUGCCCUUCUGCACGCUGGCGGGCAGCCCUAAGCAAGGUAGGGCGUGUCCGCGGCCGGGCAGAGUGAGGUCUUCGAGGACCUGGGACCCGGGGGCACACAGUCCCUGGGAGAUCCCCUUCGGGCAGAGCGUCUGGCGAAUCCCCUCAUCCCCCUGGCCGCUGACCUUCCUGGGAGUCCUCUCACGGGAACCCGAGAACCCCCAUGGCGGGGCGGGGGGAGGGCUGUGCUCACCCUUUGCUUUUGCUUCAAAGACGCUUUUUUCUUUCUGACUCGACCUCUUCCGACUCGGCUCGGUUCGGCUCAACAGGGUGGAUGCGCUGCUGGUGGGUGGCGGCUGCGGGCUCAGCGGCUUCCGGGCUUAGGGGUCUUAGAGGUGUCCUUGACCCAGCAGGUCUCUGUCCAUCUUCACAGGACAUGCUUCGGCCGGGCACCCUCCCGGGAGCUGCCGGCUGGGCUCUGGGGUGGUUGGCUGCCUGGGAGCCCAGCCAGGAGAGCUUGUUGGGGCCUUGGGGCCUGCAUGGAGCUGGUGUUGGCAGCGUUCCUGAGCCGGGGGAGGUCUGGGGCUUCCGGCCAAAGAGAAGGGAAGGCCUGGAGGUGAAGCCCUGGCUACCUAGUGGGUGACCUGGGCGUGUCCC